GUGGGGAAUAUUGCACAAUGGGGGAAACCCUGAUGCAGCGACGCCGCGUGAGUGAAGAAGUAUUUCGGUAUGUAAAGCUCUAUCAGCAAGGAAGAAAAUGACGGUACUUGACUAAGAAGCCCCGGCUAACUACGUGCCAGCAGCCGCGGUAAUACGUAGGGGGCAAGCGUUAUCCGGAUUUACUGGGUGUAAAGGGAGCGUAGACGGCAUGGCAAGUCUGAAGUGAAAGCCCGAGGCUCAACCACGGGACUGCUUUGGAAACUGUUAAGCUAGAGUGCAGGAGAGGUAAGUGGAAUUCCUAGUGUAGCGGUGAAAUGCGUAGAUAUUAGGAGGAACACCGGUGGCGAAGGCGGCUUACUGGACUGUAACUGACGUUGAGGCUCGAAAGCGUGGGGAGCAAACAGG
rnacentral:rRNA from 1 species